UACGUAGGUGGCAAGCGUUGUCCGGAAUUACUGGGUGUAAAGGGAGCGCAGGCGGGCGUGCAAGUCAGCUGUGAAAUCCAUGGGCUUAACCCGUGGGCUGCAGUUGAAACUGUAUGUCUUGAGUGAAGUAGAGGUAGGCGGAAUUCCGAGUGUAGCGGUAAAAUGCGUAGAUAUUCGGAGGAACACCGGUGGCGAAGGCGGCCUACUGGGCUUUAACUGACGCUGAGGCUCGAAAGUGUGGGGAGCAAACAGGAUUAGAUACC
rnacentral:rRNA from 1 species